rnacentral:rRNA from 1 species
GAUCCUGGCUCAGGAUGAACGCUAGCUACAGGCUUAACACAUGCAAGUCGAGGGGAAACGAUAGAGAAAGCUUGCUUUUUCUAGGCGUCGACCGGCGCACGGGUGAGUAACGCGUAUCCAACCUGCCCAUCACUUGGGGAUAACCUUGCGAAAGUAAGACUAAUACCCAAUGACGUCUCUAGAAGACAUCUGAAGGAGAUUUAAAAGAUUUUAUCGGUGGUGGAUGGGGAUGCGUCUGAUUAGCUUGUUGCGGGGUAACGGCCCACCAAGGCGACGAUCAGUAGGGGUUCUGAGAGGAAGGCCCCCCACAUUGGAACUGAGACACGGUCCAAACUCCUACGGGAGGCAGCAGUGAGGAAUAUUGGUCAAUGGACGAGAGUCUGAACCAGCCAAGUAGCGUGCAGGAUGACGGCCCUAUGGGUUGUAAACUGCUUUUAUAAGGGAAUAAAGUGAGUCUCGUGAGACUUUUUGCAUGUACCUUAUGAAUAAGGACCGGCUAAUUCCGUG